CACUUUUGGCAAGCGGGUGGUAAAAGUGGAGUAAGUUUGGAGUGCCUGGGCUAAGAACUUCCAUUCUGAAACUUAACUCUUGCAAUCAAACUUUCUUUCAGAACCAAGCGUGGCAGGCAGAAGCCCA
rnacentral:precursor_RNA from 15 species